rnacentral:sRNA from 1 species
GCACGCACAGCUGCAUAUUACAGUGCUGUUAAUAGGGAUCCUUGGGCCUGGGUUUAGAGGGUGGUGCUGGAGAUGGUGUUGGGAUUGGCGGGGUGAAAUUGGAACUGUACUAAAGAGUUGGUAGAAGUUGAAGCAUUAAAUUUAGGCUUUGAAAGGAGGGUAACUAUCUUUGCCUAUGAGUUGCAACAUCACUAACAGCUUCUGAGAGGCUGACUUUAUGAGUAUAGGUAUUAUGUUUUCUUUAACCCAUUCCUUACAUUUUCUCUUUCCUGGUGGCUUUUGUGACUUCCUUUUUCUUACCCUGGUAGCAGGCUAUGGAACUCAGUCAACUCCCCAGGGAUAUGGCUCGACUGGCGGCUAUGGCAGUAGCCAGAGCUCCCAAUCGUCUUACGGGCAGCAGUCCUCCUACCCUGGUUAUGGCCAGCAGCCAGCUCCCAGCAGCACCUCGGGAAGUUACGGUAGCAGUUCUCAGAGCAGCAGCUAUGGGCAGCCCCAGAGUGGGAGCUACAGCCAGCAGCCUAGCUAUGGUGGACAGCAGCAAAGCUAUGGACAGCAGCAAAGCUAUAAUCCCCCUCAGGGCUAUGGACAGCAGAACCAGUACAACAGCAGCAGUGGUGGCGGAGGUGGAGGU